GAAGAAAUUCAAAAAUGAGGAAAUGAAUGACAAGAUAAAUGAAAGUAUAUAAAAAGCUUGUGAAAAGCCAAAUGAAGUUUCGAUCACUUGAAAACACACCUUAAGGAUAAAAUCAGUGUAGAAUUAUAUAUAAAUAGGGAGAGUUUAUUUGAAAAGAAUAAAUUUUGAUCUUUGACAUGCUUGCUCUUAAUGUUUUAAUACAUGAUGUUAUGAUUUAAUGCAUAUUAUGUUUUGCAUGUGACAUGAUAUUUUGAAUUAUGUGUCUUCAAUAUUCAAAUAACAAAGAUCUUUCCUAAAUAUAACUGGUAAUGCUUCAGGCCUAUAAAAUUUGAUUGAAACAUGGUAUUACCAACAACAACAUUAUUCUGUUUUAAUGAAUAUAUUUUGAAAAAUAAAAGAAAAGCAUAAUUUGAAUUUGCAAAUUAGGCAAAAUGAAUUGAUUCUGAUUUAUCUUUUAUCUUGCCUAACAUUAGAACAUCAUGUCCUCCAAUUUGUACCAAAAUUUAAUAUGAAUUACAAAGAUUCUGGAUGUGCUCUAAUGUUCUUGAAAUAU
rnacentral:lncRNA from 1 species